CCCUUAGAUGUUCUGGGCCGCACACGCGCUACACUGAUGCAUUCAACGAGCCUAUCCUUGACCGACAGGUCCGGGUAAUCUUUGAAUCUGCAUCGUGACGGGGAUAGAUUAUUGCAAUUAUUAAUCUUCAACGAGGAAUGCCUAGUAGGCGCAAGUCAUCAGCUUGCGUCGAUUACGUCCCCGCCCUUUGUACACACCGCCCGUCGCUCCUACCGAUUGGGUGUGCUGGUGAAAUGUUCGGAUCGGCCGUUUGUCGCGGUUUCCGCGUCAUGUGGCUGAGAAGUUCAUUAAACCCUCCCACCUAGAGGAAGGAGAAGUCGUAACA
rnacentral:rRNA from 1 species